UGUAACACGUAUGGAACCUGCCCGCCACAGGGGGAUAACCCGGGGAAACCCGGCCUAAUACCCCAUGCCGCCCGGACCGGGCAUCCGGACCGGGCGAAAGGAGGAAUCCGGUGGCGGCUGGGCAUGCGGCGCAUUGGCUUGACGGCGGGGUAACGGCCCACCGUGGCGACGAUGCGUAGGGGUUCUGAGAGGAAGGCCCCCCACACUGGAACUGAGACACGGUCCAGACUCCUACGGGAGGCAGCAGUGAGGAAUAUUGGUCAAUGGGCGGAAGCCUGAACCAGCCAAGUCGCGUGAGGGAAUAAGGCCCUACGGGUCGUAAACCUCUUUUGCCGGGGAGCAAGGGCCGGGACGAGUCCCGGUCCGGAGAGUACCCGGAGAAAAAGCAUCGGCUAACUCCGUGCCAGCAGCCGCGGUAAUACGGAGGAUGCGAGCGUUAUCCGGAUUUAUUGGGUUUAAAGGGUGCGUAGGCGGGCUUUUAAGUCAGCGGUAAAAAUUCGGGGCUCAACCCCGUCCGGCCGUUGAAACUGGGGGCCUUGAGUGGGCGAGAAGAAGGCGGAAUGCGUGGUGUAGCGGUGAAAUGCAUAGAUAUCACGCAGAACCCCGAUUGCGAAGGCAGCCUUCCGGCGCCCUACUGACGCUGAGGCACGAAAGUGCGGGGAUCGAACAGGAUUAGAUACCCUGGUAGUCCGCACAGUAAACGAUGGAUGCCAGCUGUCCGGGCCGAAUGGGGCCUGGGUGGCAAAGCGAAAGCGUUAAGCAUCCCACCUGGGG
rnacentral:rRNA from 1 species